rnacentral:rRNA from 1 species
AUUGAACGCUGGCGGCAGGCCUAACACAUGCAAGUCGAGCGGCAGCGGGAAAGUAGCUUGCUACUUUUGCCGGCGAGCGGCGGACGGGUGAGUAAUGCCUGGGAAAUUGCCCAGUCGAGGGGGAUAACAGUUGGAAACGGCUGCUAAUACCGCAUACGCCCUACGGGGGAAAGCAGGGGACCUUCGGGCCUUGCGCGAUUGGAUAUGCCCAGGUGGGAUUAGCUAGUUGGUGAGGUAAUGGCUCACCAAGGCGACGAUCCCUAGCUGGUCUGAGGGGAUGAUCAGCCACACUGGAACUGAGACACGGUCCAGACUCCUACGGGAGGCAGCAGUGGGGAAUAUUGCACAAUGGGGGAAACCCUGAUGCAGCCAUGCCGCGUGUGUGAAGAAGGCCUUCGGGUUGUAAAGCACUUUCAGCGAGGAGGAAAGGUCAGUAGCUAAUACCUGCUGGCUGUGACGUUACUCGCAGAAGAAGCACCGGCUAACUCCGUGCCAGCCGCCGCAGUAAGAC